CACAUAUCUAUCCGGCGAAGAAUCACAAUUUUCUAGUGAUCCACUGUCUCGUGCGAGUCUCGCGGGUAAAAAUAGCCGUACCCGUGGACUCUCCACUUUCCUAUAGCUCCAUCCAUCUCUCACAUGGAGCAUUUCUGCUCUCAGGUUCUAUCCACUUCCUUCUCCACUCCUAAACCUCAGAUUCCAGUGUUGUUGAGUCCCCGUGUAGCUUGCACCAAAAGCUUUCAUCAAUAUAGGUUUUCGCAUCUCAAGGCAAUGCAAGACGAUAAGUUUUCCACUCCUACGCCGUGCGAUGAGUCCAAAGUUAGAGUUCCACAUGUUCUGACGGUCGCCGGAUCCGAUUCCGGUGGAGGCGCCGGAAUUCAAGCGGAUCUCAAAGCUUGUGCUGCUCGGGGAGUGUAUUGCUCCACUGUGAUCACUGCUGUUACUGCUCAAAACACCGUAGGGGUUCAGGGUGUGAACAUUGUGCCAGAGGAUUUUGUGGCAGAGCAGUUGAGGUCGGUCCUUUCCGAUAUGCCUCCCAAUGUGGUGAAAACAGGCAUGCUUCCGUCAACUGGCAUAGUGAAAACCCUCUGUCAAAGUCUGAAGGAAUUCCCCGUACAAGCCUUGGUGGUUGACCCCGUUAUGGUAUCCACAAGUGGACAUACGUUAGCUGGUCCCUCUAUUUUGGAAAGCUUUAGGGAGGAGCUUCUUCCCAUGGCUGAUAUAGUGACCCCAAAUUUGAAAGAAGCUUCUGCUUUACUAGGCGGUGUGCCUUUGGAAACAAUUGCUGACAUGCGUUCUGCUGCAAAAGCAAUACAUGACAUUGGUCCAAGAAAUGUACUCGUGAAAGGAGGCGAUCUCCCUGCUUCUUUUGAUGCUGUGGAUGUGUUCUAUGAUGGGAACGAUUUCUAUGAGUUUCGGUCUUCACGCAUAAUGACACCAAAUUCUCAUGGAACUGGCUGCACUUUGGCUUCUACUGUUGCAGCUGAACUAGCAAAGGGUUCUCAAAUGCUUUCUGCUGUUAAGGUAGCUAAAUGCUAUGUUGAAGCAGCCUUGUCUUAUAGUAAGAACAUUGCCAUUGGAGGUGGGCGUCAAGGUCCUAUGGAUCAUCUUUUGAGGCUUAAGAGUAACGUUCAGCGACGAACUUUUGAUCCUUGUGAUCUCUUCCUCUAUGCUGUUACUGACUCAUGGAUGAACAAGAAGUGGGGUCGUUCAAUAGUUGAUGCGGUAAAGGCUGCCAUAGAAGGAGGUGCCUCCAUUAUUCAGCUGAGGGAAAAGGAGGUUGAAACUAGUGAUUUUCUGGAAGCAGCAAAAGCUUGUUUAAAAAUCUGCCGAGUUCAUGGUGUUCCUCUGCUGAUUAAUGACAGGAUUGAUGUAGCUCUUGCUAGUGAUGCUGAUGGUGUUCAUAUUGGGCAGUCUGACAUACCUGCUCAUGUUGCACGGGCUCUUCUUGGGCCUGACAAAAUCAUUGGUGUAUCAUGCAAAACACCGGAGCAAGCUCAGCAAGCAUGGAUAGAUGGUGCUGAUUACAUCGGCUCUGGUGGUGUAUAUCCAACCAAUACCAAAGAGAACAAUAAGACGAUUGGUUUGGAUGGCCUAAAAACUGUUUGUUUGUCAUCCAAAUUACCAGUUGUAGCCAUUGGCGGCAUAGGCAUCUCUAAUGCUCAGGCUGUAAUGGAACUAGGUGUCCCAAACCUGAAAGGCGUUGCUGUUGUAUCUGCUCUGUUUGAUAGGGAAUGUGUUUUGACUGAGACCAGAAAGUUACUUGAGGUGCUGAAGGAGUCAACCAAAAUAGUGAACUGAAGAAAUGCUGGAGAUCACCACACAUUCUCUUACAGGCAAAGCAACCUCGAUUUUUGUUACUAAAAUAUUUCUUAGUCAAAUUUUUGAAAGUGAACUUUGCGUCUAGAGAAGUAAAUGCAGGCACCGGAAUUUUGAUAUCCUUUUGUCAAUGCUGUCCUAGAUAGGUUUAUGAUAUUUCAUUUAUCUUGUACAGUAGGAGGCUGAAACUAGUGCAAAUUCUUGAAGUUUACUGUACGUGUUCAUUGCCAAGGCAGAUUUUUGUGUUGGAAUUAGAGGUUCUCUUAUUAGUCCAGCUUUUCAGUUGGCGUCUUGGAGAUAUUUAUCUAUGCACGGUAAGUGCGAAGUCUGGUUAAUCUGUAGCUUUGGCUAAUCCAACAAAUCAUGGAAUAUUGGAAUGAAAAUAAGCUCAAAUGUUAUGGAAUAGAUAUAGAAGAAAUAUGAAAUAUUGUUUGA